rnacentral:rRNA from 1 species
AUUGAACGCUGGCGGCAGGCUUAACACAUGCAAGUCGAGCGGGGAAGAGUAGCUUGCUACUUUACCUAGCGGCGGACGGGUGAGUAAUGCUUAGGAAUCUGCCUAUUAGUGGGGGACAACAUCUCGAAAGGGAUGCUAAUACCGCAUACGUCCUACGGGAGAAAGCAGGGGACCUUCGGGCCUUGCGCUAAUAGAUGAGCCUAAGUCGGAUUAGCUAGUUGGUGGGGUAAAGGCCUACCAAGGCGACGAUCUGUAGCGGGUCUGAGAGGAUGAUCCGCCACACUGGGACUGCGACACGGCCCAGACUCCUACGGGAGGCAGCAGUGGGGAAUAUUGGACAAUGGGGGGAACCCUGAUCCAGCCAUGCCGCGUGUGUGAAGAAGGCCUUUUGGUUGUAAAGCACUUUAAGCGAGGAGGAGGCUACCGAGAUUAAUACUCUUGGAUAGUGGACGUUACUCGCAGAAUAAGCACCGGCUAACUCUGUGCCAGCAGCCGCGGUAAUAC